AACGCUGGCGGCGUGCCUAAUACAUGCAAGUCGAACGAACUCUGGUAUUGAUUGGUGCUUGCAUCAUGAUUUACAUUUGAGUGAGUGGCGAACUGGUGAGUAACACGUGGGAAACCUGCCCAGAAGCGGGGGAUAACACCUGGAAACAGAUGCUAAUACCGCAUAACAACUUGGACCGCAUGGUCCGAGNUUGAAAGAUGGCUUCGGCUAUCACUUUUGGAUGGUCCCGCGGCGUAUUAGCUAGAUGGUGAGGUAACGGCUCACCAUGGCAAUGAUACGUAGCCGACCUGAGAGGGUAAUCGGCCACAUUGGGACUGAGACACGGCCCAAACUCCUACGGGAGGCAGCAGUAGGGAAUCUUCCACAAUGGACGAAAGUCUGAUGGAGCAACGCCGCGUGAGUGAAGAAGGGUUUCGGCUCGUAAAACUCUGUUGUUAAAGAAGAACAUAUCUGAGAGUAACUGUUCAGGUAUUGACGGUAUUUAACCAGAAAGCCACGGCUAACUACGUGCCAGCAGCCGCGGUAAUACGUAGGUGGCAAGCGUUGUCCGGAUUUAUUGGGCGUAAAGCGAGCGCAGGCGGUUUUUUAAGUCUGAUGUGAAAGCCUUCGGCUCACCGAAGAAGUGCAUCGGAAACUGGGAAACUUGAGUGCAGAAGAGGACAGUGGAACUCCAUGUG
rnacentral:rRNA from 2 species